CUGUUCCUCCAGUGCAGGUGCAGGCACAGCAGUGCCACCCUUCCUGCUCCAGCUCCUUCCAUGGAGCUCCCCAAAAACCAUCCAGUUCCCUGCUCUCUGGGAACAGAAAACCCUUUUCCUCUCCUUGAAAGAAAGCUGAAACUUGCUGACAGAGGAAUAUCUGACUCAGUCAGUGUCUGAUCGUUUGAAAGCAGCCCUUUUUGCCCUGGAAGUUAAUUUAAAAUAAGCUGCAUUUUGAUGCUGUCAGGAAGCUUGGCUGGUUAGUCCUCAAAGGUUACAAACAGCAAGACUGAAGGCAAAGUUCCUGUUGUGCCAUGGCAACUGUCAAAAACUCGUGUACACAUUAGCAAGAUCAAACGUUUUCCCAGCCUGGGAAAGAGCAGGUAAACACCACGCUAAUCCCUCUGGAGCUGAGAGACAUGCAGGCUGCCAGGACAUGCUGCUUUCGUCAAGAGAUGCAAGAAGUCAGUCAGGAUUUGUUUCUCUCCUCACAGUUUGUUUAUUCAAGUUUUUAGUUCUAAGGCUGUAUGUUGGACAAGUCUUCAUGCUGAAGAUAGACUGUACCCUGGCUAAGCUCUAUGUGCAUGACAGCCUGUCAUCACUUCAGCAAGAAACAGAAGUACAACUUUAAAAACAGACUGUUAUCAGAUUUAAUGUGGAAAAAUGUCAUACAUUCUAUUUUGACAGAGAAAGUAAAAAAAAAGAAGUAUUCUACCACUUCUUUAUUAAAUAUUAAAAUAAUAUUCACAAUAUUU